ensembl:ncRNA C08G9.4 ncRNA
AAAACUCAUGAAAAAAUCACGACAUUCCUUGGAAAAUGUUGGAAAAACGGGUCCGUCAUCAUGCACCUUUUCCCUGAGGGCAGUCUCACACACUCUCACAUACAAAAAGUGGCUAACAACAAAGCCAAUUCUUCUAACGGGCGGUGCUCGGUUGAACAAAAAAACGUUUCUGAUCGAGAUGGCAAGGGUGGAUGAAAGGAAUGAAUGGACUGACUGACUAGUUGAGUGGGAAAAAGGAGCACAAGAGUACAUUUAGAGACAAAUGGGGAGUCAGUGGCUAAGAGACAAUGGCUCUUACUCCAUAAAAUGUCAAAUGUGAAAUGGAAAGUGAAGACGGGUCACGAUUACUAAUUGAG